rnacentral:rRNA from 1 species
UACGUAGGGGGCAAGCGUUGUCCGGAAUCAUUGGGCGUAAAGCGCGUGUAGGCGGCUUGAUAAGUCUGCUCUGAAAGCCUGGGGCUCAACCUCGAGACGCCGAUGGAAACCAUCUGACUAGAGUCCGGAAGAGGAGAGUGGAAUUCCUGGUGUAGCGGUGAAAUGCGCAGAUAUCAGGAAGAACACCCGUGGCUAAGGCGGCUCUCUAGUACGGUACUGACGCUGAGACGCGAAAGCGUGGGGAGCGAACAGG